AUCCAGAGACCGAUCACUCUUCCAAACGGCCAAACCUCAUGAAAUACAGACCGAUUAUUCUUCCAAAGCUCAUGAAACAUAUUCUCUCUCUUUCUCUUCCAAAUCUCCGGCUCCCAUAGUGUAUCGCCUGAAUCAGUGGGUUCAACAUUUCCGGUAAGGCUAGGGUAGCAUAAAUCCAGGAGAUGAAGAAAACCCUAGACAACGAAUCUUUCAACACCACGAAAGCUUAACGACAUUCAUCCUCACUAUUAACGUGGUUCUUCAAAUGCAUUGUUCUAAUUCCUUCCCAUCCGAAAAUCACCUUCAGACACCACAAUCAACCAUCACUGAUUGUAACACUUCACCCAUGGGUUGUUGCUCCUUUCUUAGUUGUGGCUGAUUACUAUGUUGAUAAAUUCCGAUAGCAGCAAUGGUUUCUGGGUGAAUGUUUCGAUUGUGCUAUCAAGUACGCCAUUACCAGGUAAUUUUUGAGAACCUUCUAUUUUCAGUGUUUGUUGAGCACCAAUUGUUCGAUGGUUUGUCUCAAUGAGCCUAAUUUCAUGUGGGUAUGCUUAAGUUUUGAAAUUCACACAUCAAAUGGGUUGCUUUGCAUCUUUGAAUUUGUUAUAUGAAUCACAAAUGAUAAACCUUAAUAUCGUAUAACAUGAGUUGUAAUUGUAACAUGUUUGUAUUUGGUUUGGGUCAAAGCCUGUGCCACAUUAUUAAUCUUAGAUUUGCGAUUGGAAGUAUAAGGACUGUAGCAUCUUUUUGCGCUGAAGAGAAAGUGAUGCGGGUUUAUAGAGAUAAAUGUGCAGGUCCUGAAAGAAUGAGGAUAAAACAAGGUUUGAUCGAGGGGGCUGGGUUUGGAGUAUCGUGUUUCUUACUUUUUUGUGUGUAUGCAGCUAGCUUUUACGCCGGAGCUUGGCUUGUUGAGGCGGGAACAACUACAUUCCCUAAAGUUUUCCGGGUGAGUGAUGUUUGAACUUGAAGCCACAACCUGAGACAUAUACACCGAUUGCCUACUGUCCCACAUGAGACAUAUACACCGAUUGCUGCUGACAAAGGAAAAAAAAUCGCCUCACUUACAUUUCACUUAGUUUAUACUUGCAGCUUUUGAUUAGACCAUCAACUCAUUUUUGCAGUCUCAACAACAGCUUUAGUGAACACCAACCCCAACAACAUCGACCAUCUCUCCGAGCACAUCGGCAAUAACAUCCGCUGCCAAAAGACAGCUCCAGUUCCCAGAUAUACCUUUUGGGCAAUGAAGCACCUCUGAAGUCCAACUCGAACACCUUCUUUACUGAUGUACAUAUACCUUUUGGGCAGUGAAGCAUUUCUGAAGUCCAACUUGAAGGCCUUCAAAGGCUUUUUUGUUGGUUCAGGCCCCUUUGAUCACUACACUCACACUACACAAACUCACGUAAAUAUGUUUAUGAAACUCUCUUUAUAUUCAAUAAACAAAGGAUACAAAUAAAAACCUAAUGCUACUCCCUAUUUAUAAUAAAAAUACAAAUAAAGUCACAUGCAUAAAACCCACGAACUCCUCUUUUGUAGCAACAACUCCCAACGUACACUUCUCCAUGACAUCUAUCUCCAACAAACUUGGUCAACACAAGACUAAUUCUAAACCUGUGAUCUGUUUGCUGCUAGAAUGCCCAUUUUCUGACCAGUUCUCGACCCGUAACCCAACUUGACCCGUUUUACGACCCGUAACAUCAAGAUUAAUUCCAACAUUUUUUACUGAUGUAAAUAAUAAAAGAUAUUGUUGGGCUAUGGACUGGGGAUAUUAUUUUGAAUUAAGUAUGGGCCUACCAUGUUUAGUAUAGUGUAAUACAAAACUUAGUGGUACUUAUUAUAUUUUGGCUACAGAGAUUAAGUGGCUGAAUUCUAUCAAGGAAACUUAGUGGUA